rnacentral:tRNA from 1 species
UCUUAAGUAGUUUAAGUAAAAACUAUGAUUUGUGGAGUCAUGAAUGUAUUUAUAUACCUUAGGUA